AGCAGCCGCGGUAAUUCCAGCUCCAAUAGCGUAUAUUAAAGUUGCUGCAGUUAAAAAAGCUCGUAGUUGAAUUUCGGGAUCAAUAUGUUGGUCGUGCCUUGGUACGUACUAGCUCAUUGGUUUCUCCCUUCUGACGAACCAUGAUGUCAUUAAUUUGAUGUCAUGGGGAAUCAGGACUGUUACUUUGAAAAAAUUAGAGUGUUUAAAGCAGGCUCGCGCUUGAAUACAUUAGCAUGGAAUAAUGAAAUAGGACAUUUGAUUCUAUUUUGUUGGUUUCUAGGAUCGAUGUAAUGAUUAAUAGGGAUAGUUGGGGGCAUUAGUAUUCAAUUGUCAGAGGUGAAAUUCUUGGAUUUAUUGAAGACUAACUACUGCGAAGGCAUUUGCCAAGGAUGUUUUCAUUAA
rnacentral:rRNA from 1 species